GGGUUCCUUACCUUUGCUUAAUGCUUUUAUCGUUUAACUCAUUCGGUAAAUGUUGUUUGUCUUUAAUGAUACAGAGACAUACAAUAAUGUCAUGUGAUGGGUGUCGUAACCCAUACAAAUUUGAUUGCAUAUGAGAAAUGCAAUAUAGCUAGGAAGUGACCCCUAGGUCGUCUCUCAAGGACCAAACUGUGGUUCGAGUCUCAGGUCUAACACGUAGUGGGAGGAUUUUGAAAGUGGUUUGUGAAUGCGAAUCGACUAAAUUAAAACACGCAAAUUAAACUUAACUAACAUAAUUGAAACGGUUGGAUACUAAAGCUAACAUUACAACUAAAUUAUCACAAGUAAAAAAAAUAGAAAAUAUAAAAGUAAAUGAAAAUGCUUAAAUCCAACACUGCAAUGACAAUUAUCUAGCAUAGCUAAAAUUACUAUAAUUCAACACUAAAUUAGAGACAUAAAAACAAAUAAAAAUAAAAUGCAAAAUAAUUUAAAGCAAAAGAAAUUGAAAAAAAAAAUAAAGUUGUCUUCACUAAUUCAUGUGACCAUUGUGCACCUCCCAAAAGAAAUUAGAAUUACAAUUGCUUCAAAAAAAUAAUUCUCGA
rnacentral:lncRNA from 1 species